rnacentral:rRNA from 1 species
CCUACGGGAGGCUGCAGUAGGGAAUCUUCCACAAUGGACGAAAGUCUGAUGGAGCAACGCCGCGUGUGUGAUGAAGGGUUUCGGCUUGUAAAACACUGUUAAGAGAAGAAUGACAUUGAGAGUAACUGUUCAGUGUGUGACGGUAUCUUACCAGAAAGGAACGGCUAAAUACGUGCCAGCAGCCGCGGUAAUACGUAUGUUCCAAGAGUUAUCUGGAUUUAUUGGGCGUAAAGCGAGCGCAGACGGUUAAUUAAUUCCGAAGCGAAAGCCCACAGCUGAACUGUGAAAGUUCUUUAGAAACUGGAUAACUUGAGUACAGUAGAGGAGAGUGGAACUCCAUGUGUAGCAGUGAAAUGCGUAGAUAUAUGGAAGAACACCAGUGGCGAAGGCGUCUCUCUGGACUGUAACUGACGUUGAGGCUCGAAAGUGUGGGUAGCAAACAGGAUUAGAUACCCCGGUAGUC